GACGAACGCUGGCGGCGUGCUUAACACAUGCAAGUCGAACGGAAAGGCCCUGCUUUUGUGGGGUGCUCGAGUGGCGAACGGGUGAGUAACACGUGAGUAACCUGCCCUUGACUUUGGGAUAACUUCAGGAAACUUGGGCUAAUACCGGAUAGGAGCUCCUGCUGCAUGGUGGGGGUUGGAACGUUUCGGCGGUUGGGGAUGGACUCGCGGCUUAUCAGCUUGUUGGUGGGGUAGUGGCUUACCAAGGCUUUGACGGGUAGCCGGCCUGAGAUGGUGACCGGCUACAUUGGUACUGAGAUACGGCCCAGACUCCUACGGGAGGCAGCAGUGGGUAAUAUUGCACCAUGGGCGGAAGCCUGAUGCAGCAACGCCGCGUGCGGGAUGACGGCCUUCCGGUUGUAAACCGCUUUCGCCUGUGACGAAGCGUGAGUGACGGUAAUGGGUAGAGAAGCACCGGCUAACUACGUG
rnacentral:rRNA from 1 species